AUGUAUAAGUAUAAACGACUUGAUCGUGAAACCGCGAACGGCUCAUUAUAACAGCUAUAAUUUACUUGAUCUUGACAACCUACUUGGAUAACUGUGGUAAUUCUAGAGCUAAUACAUGCACCAAAGCUCCGACCGUAAGGGAAGAGCGCAUUUAUUAGAACAAAACCAAGCGGCUUCGGCCGUCCAAUGUUGACUCAGAAUAACUAAGCUGAUCGCAUGGUCUUGUACCGGCGACGUGUCUUUCAAGUAUCUGCCUUAUCAACUUUCGAUGGUAGUGUAUCUGACUACCAUGGUGAUGACGGGUAACGGAGGAUAAGGGUUCGACUCCGGAGAAGGGGCCUGAGAAAUGGCCACUACGUCUAAGGAUGGCAGCAGGCGCGCAAAUUACCCACUCUCAGAACGAGGAGGUAGUGACGAGAAAUAACGAGACCGUUCUCUUAAGAGGCCGGUCAUCGGAAUGGGUACAAUUUAAACCCUUUAACGAGUAUCUAUGAGAGGGCAAGUCUGGUGCCAGCAGCCGCGGUAAUUCCAGCUCUCAAAAUGCAUAGAAUUAUUGCUGCGGUUAAAAAGCUCGUAGUUGGAUCUGUGCUGGCCUCCCGGUCCACCUUCGGGUGUGCACUGGUUGAGGUUGGCUUUCCUGCCCAUUUUUCGGUCAGUGCCUUUAACCGGGUGCUGGUCGUAGUGGGCAAGUUUACUUUGAACAAAUCAGAGUGCUCAAAACAGGCGUUUCGCUUGAAUGUUCGUGCAUGGAAUAAUAGAAGAGGAUUUCGGUUCUAUUUUAUUGGUUUUAUAGACUGAGAUAAUGGUUAACAGAGACAAACGGGGGCAUUCGUAUUGCUACGUGAGAGGUGAAAUUCUUGGACCGUAGCAAGACGAACUACAGCGAAAGCAUUUGCCAAGAAUGUCUUCAUUAAUCAAGAACGAAAGUCAGAGGUUCGAAGGCGAUCAGAUACCGCCCUAGUUCUGACCGUAAACGAUGCCAACUAGCGAUCCGCCGGUGGAUUCUUUGCCCUGGUGGGGAGCUUCCCGGAAACGAAAGUCUUCCGGUUCCGGGGGAAGUAUGGUUGCAAAGCUGAAACUUAAAGGAAUUGACGGAAGGGCACCACCAGGAGUGGAGCCUGCGGCUUAAUUUGACUCAACACGGGGAAACUCACCCGGCCCGGACACCGUAAGGAUUGACAGAUUGAUAGCUUUUUCAUGAUUCGGUGGAUGGUGGUGCAUGGCCGUUCUUAGUUCGUGGAGCGAUUUGUCUGGUUUAUUCCGAUAACGAGCGAGACUCUAGCCUACUAACUAGUCAGCACAUUGCCUCUGUGUGCGCGGCUUCUUAGAGGGAUUUUCGGUGUUCAGCCGCACGAUAUUGAGCAAUAACAGGUCUGUGAUGCCCUUAGAUGUCCGGGGCUGCACGCGCGCUACACUGGCAAAAUCAGCGUGCUUGUCCUUCCCCGAAAGGGGUUGGUAAACCCUUGAAAAUUUGCCGUGAUUGGGAUCGGAAAUUGCAAUUAUUUUCCGUGAACGAGGAAUUCCAAGUAAGUGCGAGUCAUCAACUCGCGUUGAUUACGUCCCUGCCCUUUGUACACACCGCCCGUCGCUGCCCGGGACUGAGCCAUUUCGAGAAACUCGGGGACCGCUGAUUCGGCGGCUUUCGGGUCACCGUUUCGGUGGGAACCGAUUUAAUCGCAGUGGCUUGAACCGGGC
rnacentral:rRNA from 1 species